rnacentral:lncRNA from 1 species
CUGUAUUCUCGUCUUUGUUCCUAGGGGCACCCCAAACGUGUGUGGCUCUGUCCUUACAAAACCAAUGAAGACCAAGAGCAAAUGCUAUGGGCAGUCGGGCCCUGGCGGCUCCCAGAGGCCUGCAGUCUGAAGGGCAGUCCCCUCUAAUCCCGCCCGUCGGGUCGGAUUUGUUGCUCCAGAUUUCUUCCCAGCAGCUGGACAUCUCCAGAAAGUUCUAAGUGGGAGCUAGCUGCCUUCAGCCUGCCCUUCCCUCGUGCCCCUGCUGAGUCACAGCCCUGGGCCUUCCCUGAGCUGCAUCCGCCCCUCCCGCCAGCAAGGAUCCAGCAAGGAACCAGGGGCCCCUCCUGCCCCCAGGCACUGGGCUUCAGGCGGAGGGAAGAGGACACCCGAGAGGAGGAGACCCAGGUGGCCUCUGGGAAGAGUCACUGCCAGCAGGUGGGUGAGGCCAGUUGGUGGGAGGCUGAGGGCUGGAUGGUGGCCGGGUGGGUGGCAGGCCCCCUCCAGAAGGCCUCUGGGGGACAGUGGUGAGAGACCAGGAGGAGGAGGUCAGCCCGUGGGAAAUCGGUGCUGGCCUGGGCGGGCGGGGCGGGCGGGGGGCGCGUCAGCUGUGCAGGGGCCCUUUGCCUGCUGUGGCCCCGGGCCCCAUGGCCAGCUGAGCCCAGCCUCAGAGUGCUGGCCAUGACGGCUGUCCUCAGAGCCGCUGAGCUUGGGGUGCAGACGGCAGAGAAAUGCAAGAAGGAACCUUCUAGAAUAAAGGAACACAGUCAAAGGUUAUAAAAUGUCUUGGGGCCUAGCUCAGAUGUACCCGAGGUCUAGAGACUAUUCCCUAAAACUUCAUUUUUAGAAUUGAUUCCUCCCCCUGGGCCUCCUGCGUGACACGGGCCUUCAGUGCGGGGUCCAGGCAGUCGGGAGCGGGGACAGGGUUUGGAACCCUCUCCGCCCUGGCUGGGGACUCGGGACAUGAGGUCUGGGCCCCUCCUGCAGAUGGGUCAGCAUGGUCGUUCCGGGGGUGGUAGUGUCCCCUAUUGCCUCACGCCUUCAGAGCUAGCCUGGGGACAGUGUGUGAGAGCAUUGGGCCAGGCAGGUGCGGAGGUGGCCCUUCUCAACCUCUGACCCUGGUGAGCAUCAGUGUGCUGUCAGCUCCAGGCCCCCGGGCACCCUGGGCUGCCGAGGAGCCACACCCUGGGCAAGGACAGCAUGCCAGAGCUGCUCUAGGACCAGGGACACGGCUGCCACACCAGGGGCACCUGACCUUGCAGCUCGGCCCUGCAUGGCACAGGGCACGGGAGCCAGGGAGGAGGCGGGCGCGAGCGAGGGGAGCAAGUGGGCUUGUCACUUGUAGAGGGUGCCCAGGGUGCCUGCCGGGGGCGGGGGUGGGCCUAGAAAGAAGGCCAGAGGGCGAGCUGGAC